CCCCCCCCCCCCCCCGGCGUGGUCCUAGUACUCGUCUGUAUCCUGCUCUGAAGAUGUGAUUAAUCACUUCAGAGCGUCUCUUAAAUGUCACUCCAAUACUUGACUGUAAUCUGCUUGAUAAAUGUGUCCAAACACUCGCACUCAGCAAAGACCUUUUGUAAUCCUAGAUUGGGUCUGAAGUGUAAUUCUUAGAAGUUUGAUAAAUUCGGGUCCUGAGCUGAACGAGUUAGUUCAGUUUGUUCCUUGAGUCCGUCUUUGUCCUCCUUAAAUGGACGGGGAGGUUUAGACUACAGGGAGAUGGAGGCACAGGACAGGGGGAUGCACAGAGGAUACAUGAGGGUCUGUAUUAGUAUGCCGUCUGCAGAGCGGCGACAUCGACCGAUUUUAAUGAAGUGCUUCUGUUCACAAAGCUCUAAUAGCGGCUACUCCCCCUCCACAUCCCUGGCUUUAACCCCACUGUCCUCCCUCUGUCCUUUCUCCCCGUCCAUCUGGCCUCUCCUCCCUCAGUUGGUCCGUCCUCUCCGACUAUUUCAUCUUUUACCUUCUCCGUCCAUCUGUGCCGCCCUCCUCCUUUACUAACCUUGUCUUUUUAUUUACAUCCUUUGAGGUCCAGCAUCUCACAGUUUCUUCCUCAAUACACCAUCUCUGUCCAGUUUGCUUAACACUGCAAGUUCCUUGUCCACGUUCCGUCAAUUUAGUCAUACCGUCAUUAGGAUUAAGUGCUUUCAUUGUUGGUUAAGAAUUUGUCUGCAGUUUUGUCAAAAAAGUGCCGACAUUUUUUGUCGUCUUUGGGUCUGAAUUGUGAAACUUUUACUCCUCAGAGGGAUUUUUUUCGACACAUUUUAAACACACCUUGUGUUACUUUUUGUGCACUAAGGUACGUUAGCUGUGUGGCAACAUGUUGCGCUUUUGACAAAUUGUGCUGAAACUUGAGCUAAAAUGUGUUUUUCAGGAUUUUCUCCAAGUCGCCUCAAGUCAUUAACGGAUGAUGACUUGAAGGCUGUGAGGCAAGAAGUAAGAUUUGAGUCAAUUUAGAGUACAGCAACCUGCAAAAGGAAAGAGUUUUCGCACAAUGUCUGAGUAGUUUCUGCGAGGUUAGGAUGUUCAGCUGCCAUUGUGGGACGCCAACAUGUAAAGUUUCUAUGUUCCCCUUCGAUGAAAAUAUGGAUCCAAUUGGUCGCGUAGAAGCAUGCACCGAAAAAAAACGGUAGAUUUGAGUCACCUUAUGUAACACUCGUCUCCUCACCGCAUCGUCUAGAACAGCAGCACUGCAGUUCUAUUUAAAUGCGCCAGCUGCUCGUUUAAAUGUCAUCAACUCCAAUGUGACUCGUGAUGGUUCACUCAGAGGCCAGUCGGCUCCCCAGAGGGGGUUUGGAGUCCCCGUCCAUGACCUCCCACCCCGGGCUAGAAAUCAGUGUUGCAGGGUGAGUUGGGGAAUCCUGGCUGAGUCACUGUCAGUGUGAAUCUCUUCGGGUUGAGAAGAGAUGAAGAACUGCUCAUUAUACUAAUCGUACACUCUCAGAAAUACAGGCGCUGACUGAGACCAUAUAGGGUUCUUUGGAUUGUCCUCACAGGAGAAUCCUGUCUGUAAAGGUUCAACCUGGAACCCUUUCAGAUGGUUCUACCUAGAACCCAACAUAGAGGGUUAUACCUAGAACCAUCUGGGAGAGGUUCCACCUAGAACCCCCUAUGAGAGGUUUUACAGAGGACCCAUCUAUGGUAUAAUGGUUCCACCCAUAACCUUCUCUAAACGGUUCUAUCCAGAACCUUUCCACCUUCUAAGGCCCCCGAUCACACCGAGACGCGUCGCAUUGGUGGUUCUCCACCCGAACCAUGAUUUAGUUUCUCUUGGGCAAUUUGAACCGCGUCCAACAAGGCAGUGGGCUUAGAGAACCCACAUUUCAAACAAUUCUUAAAGAGUUAUUUGGUUAAAAAGGGUUCUUAAUGGAACCACUAGUCUUAUAAGGAACCCUUUUCUUCAAAAGAGGAUUUUUCUGCGUACAACCUCAUUCCUUCAGGUAGAACCCUUUUGGAACCCUUAUUUCUAAGAGUACACCCACAGACCAAUAAUGCAGCAGCCAGCAUGUCUUUCCUCAUCCUUCUCAAGGCCACUUUACAUUUAAAGGAGUACUGAUAUCUGCCUCCCUCCCCCCCCCCCCCCCCUCUCUCUCUCUGUGUGUCUCUCUCUCUCUCUCUCUCCCUCUCCGUCUCCCUCCCCUUGUUCUUGUUCUCAUUCGCUCAGCUUUGUACCGUGCUCACCGAGCUCUCAGUCCUGCAGUAAUUGAAUGUGUUCUUGCCGCAUAUCCGUGCAAUUACUUGCUGCUGUCGAGAGCAAUUCAGCACACGCAGCAACGUUCAGCACAAAUCGAUGUCGUUCAAUAUCCCUUACGGCGCUGUUUGGACUCGGCGGGACAGAAAACGCACAUUUGUUCCUCGAGGGUGUACAAAAGAGGAAGACAUUCAGCUUCUUCUACCUUUCAGCAGAUGGUGAACCAGAGCGCUGUGAGGAAACAUGAAUGUCCAGAAAAUUGCCUAUUGGACCAAACUUCCUUCUCUUUGUGUUUUAUCAGCUUCAGUGUGAAAACAAUAUAAUAUCUGAUCAAAAGUCUGUAAAAUAGAGAAAUGACUAAAGGAGGGUUUUCAUUAUUGAUUUAUUACUUCCUUGAUUUAUCAAUUCAUAAUAUUUUAUAUGAGAUGUCAGAGAACAGCGAUGAACAGCCCAAAGAGAUUCAGUUUAUGAUCAUAAGACAAAACAACAUGAAAAUAAUCACAUUUGAGAAGCUUGAGGCAACAAAUUACAUUAUUAAUUGAUCAUUAAAAUAGUUGCUGUUCUGUCGAGUCUACUGGACGCUGCUGCACUUUAUAAAGACAGUCGAGCUCCAGUAGUGAUGGUUUAGUGAUGUAACGUGAGAGACGAGGGAGAGUUGUAGCUCCCCCCCGGUGUGCUCUCCCUGAGGGGGGAGACGUUACAUGGAGCUAACGAGAGGUUUCAUCCCACUUCAACAUGUAAUAAUAACAACAUCUCCUAAUUCAGCUCACUCGUUGUUGUUCUUGGCGCUUCAUUUAAGACAAGAGGUGUAGUAUCAGACAGGAUUAUUAAUGAUUCAGUGUUGCUAUCAGGUACUUAAACCACCAUCAUCUCCUGUUAUGUUGCAAGCCGCUGAGUCGCUGCACCGAUGCAAUCGGGGAUUAAGUGCCUUGCUUCACGGCACUUCAGCGGUCGGCGUUGAGGGAGAGAAGAGCGCUUCUCAUGCAGUUCCACGUGCAGAUUUCUACGACGCUUUUCGGGGCGUUAAAGCCGGCGACGUUCUGGUUUUUUGCUUGAUUUGUUUUAUUUGUUUGUUUUUUAACCGAUGUUUCUAUGACGAUGAAUGACUCCUGUUCUCACAUCAUCUUCAUCAGGUCACAUCAUCUUCAUCAGGUCACGGUGUUUUUAUUAAGGACGCUUUGUGGAGGUAGAGCGCAGUAACUACAGAGAGAGGGAACUAUGUUGACUUUGAACAAAGGAGGGUGGUGUUUCCAUCAUGUUUUAUCCAAAACACAUUUAAAUAGAUGGAAUUGUGUUCAGAGACACCGCCCUCCUUUAACCCUCGGGGGGGAAACUGUAUAUUUACUUAGAUUUACAGGAGAAUAGCAGUUUACAGCAGUACAGUGUAUUUCAGCAGAUGUCUGUUUGUGGAAAUGGAAGAAAGGUGCUUGAAGAAAACAUACUGUCGUGAUUUAUUGUCGCUUAUUCAUAUUACUCAUGGAACACACAUAAAGACAAAGUAUAUGUACAUGAGAUUUGUUAGCCUGUGCUGGACGCUGUCUGUCCAACCGCUCCUCUGUUUGAAACGUAUUUAUCACACUGUAUGUGUCACAGAGGGUUUGAUGGUUACUGUAUGCAGACCUGGGACAAACUGCCACUGAAACAUGCUUCAUCUACGCUGGUGGUGCGUUGGAUUCGUCCGUCUCUGCGUCCACACCUGCCACCACUUAAUCCUCGUCUUUCUCAAUGUCACCAUGUGUGCGUCCGUCAUGCAAGCAUUACUUUCACUUCAAAAGAUGAAUGAAGGAGCUUUGUCUCCACUGCGGCGGGCAGAUACGUCCAAACUAUAAGAAGAUAAGAGGAGCUGUUCUCCUGUGGUGUCUUCACCUCGGGGGCCUUUUGUCCCAGGUCUGGUGGUGGUCUGGUGGUGGUCUGGCAGUGGUCUGGUGGUGGUCUGGUGGUGGUCUGGUGGUGGUCUGGUGGCUUUGGACAACAGUGAGUUGCCUUUAAAGCUAGACUUAGUUAUCACAUAUCGCCACUCCUCAAACCGGGGUGACACUUGCCAAAGAUGGUACAUCUGCGUCACGAUAAGGAGGGACAGUGUUCAGUUGGUACACUUUCAGCUAACUCUAAUUAAUUGGUGCCAUAACUUUCUUUUACCAAAGUAACUAUUUUACACAAUGCACUCCAGGUCUUUCUGCGUGGUUUUAAUACAAGGGGAGCAUAUUGUUUAACAAACAUAGUUGUGUUCCCCAUCGCUUCCAUCAGAAGAGAUGGCAAUUAGGAAACGGAGGAAUGAUUACAGCAAGCAGAACCUUUGUUAAUAUAUUCAGACUUAAAAAUGUAUUAUACAACCUGAAAAAUAAAAGUAAAUGUAGUUUACUCAACCCAGUCGCCAGAACAAAAGUUACAGAUACGUUUCAUAUCAGUCUUCAAAAUAUCAUGAAGUUAUUCCGCAUAAAAUUAGCCGAGUGCUUGUGUGUAUUUUUGGAGCAAUGGGCCUUCAGAACAAUGGGAGUUUAUUUUUGGGAUAAUGUAAUAAAUGGGCAUUCGGUCCAAUGUGACAACAUCCGGACUAUUGGGCCGUCACCGUUUAGUUUAGUUUUCACACGGGACAUGAACAGCGGCCUCCCGGGUGAAAGUCCUGUGUGUGUUUGACACAUUCACCCCCAAUCCCCCUCAUCCUCAGUGGACUCUCUCGCUUGUUAUUCUCCUUAUUAAACCACAUUCAUUUCAGUAACAUGUUGUCCUGGUGACUGGGCUGAGUUCACCGACCUAUUAAGGUUCAUUUAGCCUUCGUUUAAUGUGUAUUAUAGACUACAGUCGCUUUGGUAAACUAAUCCAAAACAAUGAAUGGCAUGAAAAACAAUCACUGAACACCAGUUUGUUUAAAUAGUAACAUUCACCACUCACUCUGUAAGUGCACCCACUGAGUUAAAGCUCGUAUUUCCUGUACAAAAAUUGUUUUAUAACUAAAAUCACAUUUCACCACUUUCAGUGAAUCGGCACAAAGUUGCUCAGAGUUUGGAGUGUGGCUUCAUGUGUCUACGUCUUCCUUUAACUUGCCUGUUGUUGCCUUUAGUUUCUAACGUUCUCUUUUCUUAAAAAAACAAAUAUGUGUACGUAGGUGAAUAAAAACAUAUCAAAGGUAGUCUGGGCAGACGUUUUGAAGUAACGAGAUAUAUUGAUAUUGAUUGGAUAAUAUCACUACUACUACUUCUUCUAGGGAGAUUUUAACAGAUAUAGCUUUAAGAGAGAUUCAUUUCAGUUCGUUUUCUUAUAAAGAAAAAUAAAAGUUUUCUGUAAAUACCUUAUUACUCUUUCUUUGGUUUUGGGUUUUUUGACUAAAUGAGUUGAUUAUAAAAUCAAAAAGAAAAAAAUCUGAGCUUGGCUCACUUCUUUACAUGCGAGUUGAUGCACCAUUUAGUUUGAGGAUUGUUUCUAUAGAGUCAUCACGUAGUCCUCUCCAGUCGGACAUCAGCUCAUGUAAAUAUGAAGACCAACAAAAGCUUCUGAAAGGUUUUGUAUUUAUAUUUCUCUCUUAUUUAAGAUGAAAGUCAUCAUCCUUUGCACAUAAUGUUAUACCAUUAUUAUGACAGUGCUUAUAUUGGAUAGGCAUGUUUACGUUUAUGAUUAUUACCAGUUUUAUUUCUGAUGAGAUUAUUUAAAAUGCUAACAUGACUGGAGCAGAGAUGAUUUAUUUCUGUUUGUUUUGGUUUUACUGUCCCACGCGAAUUAUAUACCAAUAACACCAUGUUCUGUUAACAAUGAAAUGUCAAUAAAAGUGAAAAACUUU